rnacentral:tRNA from 1 species
UCUAAGGAAAAUCGGAAACCUACACAUUCAACGAAACGAUAUUUAGUUUUGAGUGGUUAACAUUCAAGCAUGGGGAAUUAGCUCAGCUGGGAGAGCACCUGCUUUGCAAGCAGGGGGUCAUCGGUUCGAACCCGAUAUUCUCCAUAACAACCAUCUGGUUGUUAAUUAGUUCUUUGAAAACUGAAUCAUAAUUGUAAAUUUUUAAAUUCAUUAUAAUUGAUCAUAUCAAUUAAAUUGAGCCGAAAAAAUACACCGCGUAAUUUUUUGAGUUUUUUAAAUAAGUUUAAAAUCGCUUGUGACCAUUGAGUCACAAUACUCAAACGAAAUCAUCAACGAGAGUUGAUC